UACGUAGGCAGCGAGCGUUGUUCGGAGUUACUGGGCGUAAAGCGUGCGUAGGCGGUUUUGUAAGUUUGGUGUGAAAUCUCCCGGCUCAACUGGGAGGGUGCGCCGAAAACUGCAAGGCUGGAGUGUGGGAGAGGUAGGCGGAAUUCCUGGUGUAGCGGUGAAAUGCGUAGAUAUCUGGAGGAACACCGGUGGCGAAGGCGGCAUCCUGGACCAACACUGACACUGAGGAGCGAAAGCCAGGGGAGCAAACGGG
rnacentral:rRNA from 1 species